GUCUACGGCCAUACCACCCUGAACAUGCCCGAUCUCGUCUGAUCUCGGAAGCUAAGCAGGGUCGGGCCUGGUUAGUACUUGGAUGGGAGACAAAUAUCCAUUACAUAUUAAAAAGUUUAAAAUUAGGUAGAUU
ensembl:rRNA 5S_rRNA 5S ribosomal RNA